rnacentral:rRNA from 1 species
AGAAUGAACCGGCGAGUUACGAUUUGAUGCAAGGUUAAGCAGUAAAUGUGGAGCCGUAGCGAAAGCGAGUCUGAAUAGGGCGUUUAGUAUUUGGUCGUAGACCCGAAACCAGGUGAUCUACCCUUGGUCAGGUUGAAGUUCAGGUAACACUGAAUGGAGGACCGAACCGACUUACGUUGAAAAGUGAGCGGAUGAACUGAGGGUAGCGGAGAAAUUCCAAUCGAACCUGGAGAUAGCUGGUUCUCUCCGAAAUAGCUUUAGGGCUAGCCUCAAGUGAUGAUUAUUGGAGGUAGAGCACUGUUUGGACGAGGGGCCCCUCUCGGGUUACCGAAUUCAGACAAACUCCGAAUGCCAAUUAAUUUAACUUGGGAGUCAGAACAUGGGUGAUAAGGUCCGUGUUCGAAAGGGAAACAGCCCAGACCACCAGCUAAGGUCCCAAAAUAUAUGUUAAGUGGAAAAGGAUGUGGCGUUGCCCAGACAACUAGGAUGUUGGCUUA